ACAACCCUCCAACCCAGAGCGCAGUGAAGUCUACCCACGCUGGCACUCUCUCCUACUGACACAAGAGAUGGAGGGAGAGAAGGAGAGAGAGAGGGAGCGGGGAGAGGAGAAAGAGAGCGACGAGACGGAGGAAGAGGAGAAACAGAGCGACGAGGCUGAAGAGGAAGAUGAUGAAGAGGAUGAUGAUGAAGAUGCGGAGGGAGCUGCGUUGGUGUGGCAGGAGGGGUCAUACGGAGAGGAUGACCUGGGCCUACCCAUAAUGCAUUGGGAGGCGCUGAGCCUGCGCAUCGCAGAGCUGGAGAAACAGGAAGUGGAGAAGAGAGAGAAGAAAACAAAGUCUUCCAGUGUCCUUGAACGAGGUAAGAAAUUGUCAGCAAGCCGGCCGGAGGAGAGAGAGAGAGGGAAGACGCUGUCCAUGAACCGGCCAGGAGACAGGGAGCAAGGGAAGAGUAAGGAGAGCUGGGAGGACAGAGGCGAGGAGGACUGCAAUAGCCGCGUGACAGCCCUAACCUCGCGUCUUUCGAAUCAGAUGAACCUCCAGCUGUGCUUCAUCAAUGACAGCGGAAGCGAAGAAGAAGAUGAAGAUACUGGCAAAAAAGUUAGUGUGAAGAAUUCCAAAAUUGUUGGUAAGAGCGGUUCCAGUGUGCAGGUGCGCCAGCAGCCCAAGUUCCCUGCCCCCCCUGCAGCCAAGAGCAAAUCAUCAGGCUUCAAGGCUGCACUGAGCGCGCUCAGAAACAAGCUGAGGACCGAGCAGAAACAGGAGAGCCCAGCUUGUUGUAAUCAGCUGUUGAAGAAUAAAAGGCUGGACCGAAGUGACCUGCAAGCCUUCAGUCUCAAAGAGCUCAACGCCCACCAAAACUCUCUCAACAAGGCUAUACAAGACCUUAGCACAGAGCUGGUGGUUCAUCUUCAGACUCGGGACCAGCUGAGGACAGAACAGGAUGCUAUGCUGCUGGAGGUAAACAGAAUUUGA
rnacentral:lncRNA from 1 species